rnacentral:rRNA from 1 species
UGUGACUGCGUACCUUUUGUAUAAUGGGUCAGCGACUUAUAUUCUGUAGCAAGGUUAACCGAAUAGGGGAGCCGAAGGGAAACCGAGUCUUAACUGGGCGUUAAGUUGCAGGGUAUAGACCCGAAACCCGGUGAUCUAGCCAUGGGCAGGUUGAAGGUUGGGUAACACUAACUGGAGGACCGAACCGACUAAUGUUGAAAAAUUAGCGGAUGACUUGUGGCUGGGGGUGAAAGGCCAAUCAAACCGGGAGAUAGCUGGUUCUCCCCGAAAGCUAUUUAGGUAGCGCCUCGUGAAUUCAUCUCCGGGGGUAGAGCACUGUUUCGGCAAGGGGGUCAUCCCGACUUACCAACCCGAUGCAAACUGCGAAUACCGGAGAAUGUUAUCACGGGAGACACACGGCGGGUGCUAACGUCCGUCGUGAAGAGGGAAACAACCCAGACCGCCAGCUAAGGUCCCAAAGUCAUGGUUAAGUGGGAAACGAUGUGGGAAGGCCCAGACAGCCAGGAUGUUGGCUUAGAAGCAGCCAUCAUUUAAAGAAAGCGUAAUAGCUCACUGGUCGAGUCGGCCUGCGCGGAAGAUGUAACGGGGCUAAACCAUGCACCGAAGCUGCGGCAGCGACGCUUAUGCGUUGUUGGGUAGGGGAGCGUUCUGUAAGCCUGCGAAGGUGUGCUGUGAGGCAUGCUGGAGGUAUCAGAAGUGCGAAUGCUGACAUAAGUAACGAUAAAGCGGGUGAAAAGCCCGCUCGCCGGAAGACCAAGGGUUCCUGUCCAACGUUAAUCGGGGCAGGGUGAGUCGACCCCUAAGGCGAGGCCGAAAGGCGUAGUCGAUGGGAAACAGGUUAAUAUUCCUGUACUUGGUGUUACUGCGAAGGGGGGACGGAGAAGGCUAUGUUGGCCGGGCGACGGUUGUCCCGGUUUAAGCGUGUAGGCUGGUUUUCCAGGCAAAUCCGGAAAAUCAAGGCUGAGGCGUGAUGACGAGGCACUACGGUGCUGAAGCAACAAAUGCCCUGCUUCCAGGAAAAGCCUCUAAGCAUCAGGUAACAUCAAAUCGUACCCCAAACCGACACAGGUGGUCAGGUAGAGAAUACCAAGGCGCUUGAGAGAACUCGGGUGAAGGAACUAGGCAAAAUGGUGCCGUAACU